AUUGCUUCUUGGCCUUUUGGCUAAGAUCAAGUAUAGUAUCUGGUCUUAUUAGUUUGAUAUCUGACACACUCUCUAUCUGAGAACAAUACAUUAAACGGAUUUUUGAAGUAGGGAGUUAGGAUAGGUGCUUGCUCUGUCUACUCCAUGUAUUAACCUGGCAUCAUAGCACUUCUAGGAAUGGUGCUUCUCUU
ensembl:snRNA U2 U2 spliceosomal RNA